rnacentral:tRNA from 1 species
GCCGGGGUGGCAGAGGAGUUAUGCGUCCGCCUGCAGAGCGGAUUACCUGGGUGCAAAUCCCAGCCCCGGCU